UACGUAGGGGGCGAGCGUUGUCCGAAUUUACUGGGCGUAAAGCGCGCGUAGGCGGACCUUUAAGUGGAUGGUGAAAUGCCGGGGCUCAACCCCGGAACUGCCUUCCAAACUGGAGGUCUUGAGGUAUGGAGAGGGAUGUGGAAUUCCUGGUGUAGCGGUGAAAUGCGUAGAUAUCAGGAGGAACACCCGUGGCGAAGGCGGCAUCCUGGCCAUAUUCUGACGCUGAGGUGCGAAAGCUAGGGGAGCGAAC
rnacentral:rRNA from 1 species